AACGAACGCUGGCGGCAGGCUUAACACAUGCAAGUCGAGCGAGGACUUCGGUCCUAGCGGCGGACGGGUGAGUAACGCGUGGGAACGUGCCCUCUUCUUCGGAAUAGCCUCGGGAAACUGGGAGUAAUGCCGAAUACGCCCCUUACGGGGGAAAGAUUUAUCGGAGGAGGAUCGGCCCGCGUUGGAUUAGGUAGUUGGUG
rnacentral:rRNA from 1 species